CUGCAAAAGUAAAGAAGUAGCUAACAGCUGAUGUCCGUGUUGGGAUCUGCCAUUUGAAAAGAAGCAAGAAAAGGGUGACUCAGACGGCAUUAAAUGGAAACACGGCUAUGUGUGAAAAUUUGAAUUUGCAGGUCCCUGUCAGCUCCACAGCUCCCUUGCCAACCCCUCAAAUCAUUGCAAGGCUCAAGGGUGGCUGGAGAAUGUUCCUGCUCGUGUGCUCUGUUUACUAAUGUGGACGGUGUAAUAACGGCUUCCAGGAUGGAGGUACAGCUUCGCAUUUGUAUUCU
rnacentral:lncRNA from 1 species